CUGUAUGUAUGUAUGUAUGUAUGUAUGUAUGUAUGUAUGUAUGUACGGUGACGAUUGAUAAUCCGGGGAAUGACGAGGGCAGAGAGAGACUGGGCCGAGUCUAUGUGUAUGUAUGUAACCAAGUUCUUUCAAUCAUACGAGAUGGCCUCAGAAACCAUUUACUAGAUGGUUAUUUUCUAGAGUGUGACCUUCCUGUGAUUUACAAUUUGAACAAAGUGUUACUGCUGGAGCUGACUGUACCAUUUGAUGAAAGGACUUGGAUGUGGAUGUCCGUCAGAAUCAAGUCCUGGUCGAGACGGGUGGCAGUUCAAACAUCUGAAGUUGCUUUUUGAAUCGGACCACAGUACAGAGCUUUUGCACAAGGCAUGCAAUGCAUUUCUGUCUGGAACCAUUCCUAGCUCAAUAACUACAGUUUUGGUCGGAGCAAAAUUGAUCGCACUUUGGAAGAAUGAGUCUGAGAUGAAAGAAGCCGUAGCAAACUAUCUAGCUCCACAUCAAUAUGGAGUGUGCACUCCAGGAGGCUC